rnacentral:rRNA from 1 species
CGCCUGGGGAGUGCGGUCGCAAGACUAAAACUCAAAGGAAUUGACGGGACCCCGCACAAGCGGCGGAGCAUGCGGCUUAAUUCGAUGAUACCCGUAGAACCUUACCUGGACUAGACAUAUAGGGAAAAGCAUAGAAAUAUAGUGUGCGUAAGCGCCCUAACAGGUGGUGCAUGGCUGUCGUCAGCUCGUGUUGUGAGAUGUUGGGUUAAGUCCCGCAACGAGCGCAACCCACGUCUUUAGUUGCCAGCAUUUAUUGGGCACUCUAGAGAGACCGCCGGUGAUAAACCGGAGGAAGGUGUGGAUGACGUCAAGUCAUCAUGCCCCUUACAUCCUGGGCUACACACGUACUACAAUGCUACGGACAAAGAGCAGCAAGUUCGCGAGGACAAGCAAAUCUCAUAAACCGUGGCUCAGUUCAGAUCGUAGGCUGCAACUCGCCUACGUGAAGGAGGAAUCGCUAGUAAUCGCAGGUCAGAUACUGCGGUGAAUACGUUCCCGGGCCUUGAACACACCGCCCGUC